rnacentral:tRNA from 1 species
GCCACUUUAGCUUGGUGGUAGAGCGUCAGCUUUGAAGCAGAAGGUCAUCAGUUCAAUCCUGACAAGUGGCG